rnacentral:rRNA from 1 species
GACGAACGCUGGCGGCGUGCUUAACACAUGCAAGUCGAACGGAAAGGCCCUGCUUUUGUGGGGUGCUCGAGUGGCGAACGGGUGAGUAACACGUGAGUAACCUGCCCUUGACUUUGGGAUAACUUCAGGAAACUGGGGCUAAUACCGGAUAGGAGCUCCUGCUGCAUGGUGGGGGUUGGAAAGUUUCGGCGGUUGGGGAUGGACUCGCGGCUUAUCAGCUUGUUGGUGGGGUAGUGGCUUACCAAGGCUUUGACGGGUAGCCGGCCUGAGAGGGUGACCGGCCACAUUGGGACUGAGAUACGGCCCAGACUCCUACGGGGGGCAGCAGUGGGGAAUAUUGCACAAUGGGCGGAAGCCUGAUGGAGCCACGCCGCGUGCGGGAUGACGGCCUUCGGGUUGUAAACCGCUUUCGCCUGUGACGAAGCGUGAGUGACGGUAAUGGGUAAAGAAGCACCGGCUAACUACGUG